AGCCGUGGGGGAGGGGAAAGGGCGCGCGGCCUCGGAUGCGCAGACCCUGGGCCGGCGACUCGGGGACCCUGCUCCCUCUUAGCUAAAAAUGACGUCGGCGUUCAGCUCCUCCAACCUCACGUGGACAGGCGAGGGAACCGAGACCCAGAGAGGGCAGGGGACUUUGGCAAACUCACACAGCCCACCGCAGGCAACUGGAACUGAAACCCAGGACUCCGUCUCUUGCCAGUGAAAGUUAUGUUAGGAAGCAGUGAGGGGUCUAAAGCAGUAUGAAAGGCAAAGAGAAAAGGUGAUUGUUCCCUCUUGAAUGGCCCUUGGAAGCUGAGUAUCUGGAUUCACCCUCCCUAGGGAAUUUCCCGAUUGUCUUGCAGGCUUACACACUCAUCAAGAUGACAAAAAUAAUGACAGUAACACUUAUGUGGAACUUGACUUUUUCCCAGGUGCUGCUCUAAGCAUUUACUGUGUUUGUUUUACAGGAAGGAAGACUGUACACAGAGAAUAAAUAACUUGGCCAAGCCAUUCAGCUAGGAAGUUGUAGAUCCUAAAUUAAGAGUUCAAGGUCUUAAUGGCUACUCUAUGCGGCCUCUCAUAGUCUUUUCAAGGGUUUUGGAGAAGAAUAAAAGAUCAGUCAUCCACAGAUGUUUGAGUGGUUACAAUGUGCCAGCCUCCCUUCUAGGUACUGGAGAUAAAGUGGGACAAGAGAGGUGAGGUCUGGACCCUUGGCACUUUCACGAUAAAAUACACAGGUAAACAUUUGCCUUUAGGGCCCCCUGUGAUUACUUCCACUCUUGCAGAUAAGAGGAUAAGGCCUCUUCAGCUUGUUCACAGCAGCUGAAAAGCAAAGCCUCUCUGUCAGUAGAGGUAAAAGAUUAAGAAUGCAGAGUCCGAUGGGGCAUUACCACAUGAUUAUGAAUUAAUGCAAUUUUCCAUCUUUUAUUUCCAAUCCAGGCAUUGCUUUUGAACUCAGUCAUCUUUUCCCCCUUGCCCACUAGUUGCUUGUGAUACAUCAGUAUCCUCACUCACCCCCAACUCCAGAGGCUGAAACUAACUCUCCUCCUCCCUCUUCCAACUGCUGAGGAAGAUGAGUCAAUGGUGUUACUGGACCCUGUGAACUGAUGCUGUGAAGAGAGGCCAUUUAACACGGACUACGGGGAAUGGUGCCACAGGGGGCUCAGUGCUGCCCUUCACUCUCAGCAUUUUGCUCACUCAGCAUUGAUGACAGGAUGUCCCAAAAGUAACAAAAGAUGGGAGCCAGUCCUCUCAUAGCUGUUUCUUCAAUCAUCCCAUCAACAGCUCUUCAUUUAUUGAACUACCUUCCUUUUCCAAAGAGGUAAUGCUGAGAUCAGUCAGAAAGGCUUUCUGAGAAAACUGGCUUGGAUUUCUGGGUCUGUUGCAGUCAAUUCAAGAUGAACUGGCUUGUAUCAAUGAAGCGCUCAAUGCAGUUCACAAAACAGGCCUCAGCCCGACUGUCCAACUUUGGCCCAGGCUUGUCCAUGCACUUCUCCCAACAAAGUUCAGUCAUCUGGUGCACCAGCUGCUGGAAGCGCUGCUUUUGAGUCUCUACCUCAAUGAAAAUGCUGCAACUGCGGGUCCACUGCACCCAAACCCGCCGCAGAGGAAGAGCAGGAGGAAUCCAUCCCAGGACAACCAUGCUUGCAGAGACGAACUCCGCACCAACCUUCACGUGUCUCCACGACCUAGUUAAUCAAUUUAAAAUGAGGUCACUAGGGUGGGCCCCAAUCCAAUAUGACUGAUAACUUUAUAAAAAGGAGAGAUUUGGAUACAGAAAGAGACAGAGUGAAAACCAUGUGAAGAAACAUAGGAAAAGAUGGCAGCUACAAGCCAAGGAGAAGCUUGCAGUGUGUAUUCAUCUGUUCUCAUGCUGUUAAUAAAGACAUACCUGAGACUGGGUAAUUUAUAAAGGAAA
rnacentral:lncRNA from 1 species